rnacentral:rRNA from 1 species
UACAGAGGGUGCGAGCGUUAAUCGGAAUUACUGGGCGUAAAGCGCACGUAGGCGGCUUGUCGCGUCGACUGUGAAAACCCACGGCUCAACCGUGUGGCUUGCAGUCGAUACGGGCAGGCUAGAGUUCGGUAGGGGAGACUGGAAUUCCAGGUGUAGCGGUGAAAUGCGUAGAUAUCUGGAGGAACACCGGUGGCGAAGGCGGCAUCCUGGACCAUUACUGACACUGAAAAGCGAAAGCCAGGGGAGCAAACGGG